CUUGUACUCCCUCCGUCCGAAAAUACUUGUCAUUGAAAUGGAUGUAUCAAGAUGUAUUUUAGUUCUAGACACAUCCAUUUUGAUGACAAGUAAUUCCGGACGGAGGGAGUACUUG
rnacentral:pre_miRNA from 1 species